GACAAAACUUCUAGGGAAUCUAAUUUCUUUCGAACCCCCUAUUAUAUUUAUAUGCGGUCCUAACCUUGCUACUCUUACUUCCACUAGCAAGAGAACUUCUGCUCGUAACAUACCCCUAGGGAUAUAAUCUUACUUCUUGAAGCGAGCUACUUUAACUGCCAAAGGAGCGGGGCAACUCGAGUUAGACGAGAGGCAGGGAUGUAAUUUCAAAGAGGCUCGACCGGACCCAAGAACCGGACAGAAGACAGGCCCCACUGUGAUACCUCGUGCAAGUUCUAGUUAAUGACCUGAAAGAAGUCACUAGCUUCUUGCUAUCGAGCGUGCCUUCCCACUGUGAUACGUCGUGCAAGUUCUAGUUAAUGACCUGAAAGAAGUCACUAGCUUCUUGCUAUCGAGCGUGCCUAAGCCUUAGUUUACAAGGAAGCUUUGUCGUACUUAGAAAAGGAUGGUUCUAAAGUAGGUGUCAAGCUGAGAAAAGGCGGAGAAUUUUUGAAUUCAAGAAAAGAAAGGCAUUGCCCAAUACAUUUAUUCUAUACAAUAGGAAUUCCAAGCCGUAAAAGGCAAUGUGAAUUCCUACGACUCCUCUCACUCUCAGGGACGGAUUGAACAGCAGCUGUUAGGGAAGGAUCUCUAUCAUUGGUUCAUCAGAAGCCAUCAAGCACGAAAGCAGCAAGGAGUGUGCUAGUGAGUCCCAAGCGAAGGAAAGAAGGACAUGAGAGGCAUAGAGAGGACUCAAGGACAAGACACGACUCAGACCCCGGUAAAUUUGAUCUUCAUUGGCCUUGCUGUCCGCAGAUCGAUUACUCUCCUUUGAAGGUGAAGCCCGUUUGAAGGCAAGUCAUGGUAUCCGGGAUCGGACAUCGAAAGGGAAGGCGAGGUUUCAAAGUCUAUUAUGGAAGCGGGCCCCUACUGGUAGUGAUACCCCGAUCUCAUGGAUGAAGGCUAACGUUUUCUAUUGGAAUAGAGGGAUGUGCAGAUCAAUUCUACUUUUCACUUUGCCAUCUAGAGAUAGUUUGCCCUGAGUUAGGAUACGGAGUUGGAAGAGAAUGCCAGUAUAUCAGUUCAUCUUCAUCAAAGGCCAAGAUCUCCAUGAAUUCUAUUAUUUUGCGUCUCUUUGCUUCUGAGGGAGUUUCAAGUUUAAGCCGAUCCUCGAGGUCCAGUAAAAGGUCACUCCUCAUCCCGAUCUUAUUAAAGGAGGAAGUAAACAGAUCAAGGUUUCUACGUACCUCUAUUAUGGAGGGUGCGGGCAGGGGGGACGGCGGGGAGGCCGGCUCCACCGGUUGGUUGCCGAAGAUGACCCCUUGCCUUGGUCUCCAAAUAAGUAUUUAUAAUAGUCAAAAGCACCUUAAAACCACUAAUAAGUUGGAGAUGAGGGUGAUGAGUUGGGAUCCUAUAAGGCGGGGGCACGGGGUUAUGGUCUUGUUACUUUAUGUUUCGGAGUCAAUUGAUCCCUCGAUCAAGCCCUAACUAGAAAUAUCUUAAGAGAAGAAGAGAAAUCAUUUGGAUUCGAGGCGAAACCCCUCUCCGCCGUUACGGAGUUCUUCUGCUCUAAUCUCCGAAAUCGAAGGUCAGCUGACUGAGGAGUUAGUAUUGAUUCAUGCAAAGAUGCUCCUUUGAAGCUGGAGUAAGGAAUUGUCCACCUCAUCACCCCGAAGAGCAGUGGCUCUUUUGUUUUGCACGCCUACAAAGAGAGACUCCAAAAGUACCGACGCCUAAUCGAAAGAAAGAGAAAUCAACUAUAUGCUUAACUCAUGCCCCAGGAAUCCUUAGACACAGAGAGAGGAUACGAGCUAAUCUUUUACUAGAGGGAAAGCUGGCGAAAAGCAUAGAGCGUGCGUGCUAUGCUCUCGCCCUCCUUCCAUCCGAGAAGCUGAGGCGGUUGAAAAAGCGUAAUUCCCCGGUGUCAUAGGUUACCUUUCUAUUUUCCUCCCCCGUGACGUUCCCAAAGCGAUCGCUAUCCUUUUAUUGCUUUCUUCUUGUCUUGAAUUUUUAUAGAAUGGCUUUAUCUCAGGUAUAGUUGGAUAGGAUGAAGCGUUAGUAGAUAUAGCAAGUGUGCCGGGGAUGCGGCUCGGGAAUAGUAGGUCUGGACGCCUAUCAUGAAAGAGCCUUCUCUUGUAGCAGCACUAUACCUUAGUAUCUCUCUAGCUUCUAGUCUAUAUAAAACGUAUUUAGCAGAGGUCUUUCUGGCGUUUCCUCGCGUAAAGGACUACUUUUGCAUCGGCUCUCUCUCGUUAGGUAAUUACCGAGGCGAAAGCAGCUCUCUCGGAAGUCAGUUUCCUCGCCAUCUUAGUGGGACUAGUCUAAAAAACUUUCACUUACUCGGUUUUUUUGCGGGAAGGCCCUUCUAGAAUUACGUUUAACGUCCCUUUAUGACUUUCCCGAUCGGCGCCAAGUCUAAAAAGCUUUCACUUACUCGGUUUUUUUGCGGGAAAGCCCUUCUAAAAUUAUGUUUAACGUCCCUUUAUGACUUUCCCGAUCGGCGCCUCGAGUCGGUAGCUGAGCUCUGGGGCAUUACUACCACGGCUACUAUUGACCCGAGCCCAAAGAAGGAAAAGAACGGACUAAAGCGAGGAGUUCAUUAGCCAUACAUAGUUAAGGAGGAUGGGGGUCAACCUCUUUCAUGACCCAUGGCCCCAGUGUGUCACUUGGUUAGCAUUUGUAGAACAAAAUAAGUAGGGCUGGUUCCCGAUCGGCGCCUCGAGUCGGUAGCUGAGCUCUGGGGCAUUACUACCACGGCUACUAUUGACCCGAGCCCAAAGAAGGAAAAGAACGGACUAAAGCGAGGAGUUCAUUAGCCAUACAUAGUUAAGGAGGAUGGGGGUCUACCUCCUUCAUGACCCAUGGCCCCAGUGUGUCACUUGGUUAGCAUUUGUAAAACAAAAUAAGUAGGGAUGGUUUUUCGAUAGGGAAAGAGACAGGGGAGGGGAGUUGGCUGUAAUUGAGACACGUUUUUCGGAUGGACGAUAUGGAUUUUUUCGAGAUAGUUAACCACUUUUUUAACCGUGAGAGGGUGGAUGUAAUUCAGCUCGAACGAAGUGAGAGGGGUAAUAGACUAUUACCGUUCAGUUCAUGUGACGAACCGAACAUCGUUAGGUCCCGAAUUCUGCGAAGCACCGGAUCUAGAUCAAGAUCUCCAUUACGUCGUACGAUAUAUCGAUCCGGAGAACUUACUUUCAGUUUAAGUCAUCCAUUCUGCUCCUAUCUAAAGUGAUGCUAGGCUGCUUCACAGAGGUGCGCUUCGCUCGACCACAUGAUGAACAUGUUUUAAGCUAACUGCAUGUCGAGCGCUUAAGCGGAGCUUGUGGUCACUCGUUCCUCGCUUGUUCGAAAGAGCUUCAGAUUGGAUUCAACACUACAUACGAUAUUCCAUUCCGACUCCCCUUAUGCCUUUUGCUGCUCCACAAUGCUCUCUCCAAAACAAAACUCAAGUGAGUGAAAGAAGCCCGCAUUCCCUCUCUUCUUUCCCCUAUCGCUAGGGGCCUUGCCUUUUUAAAUGAAAGGCUACAUUCGAUUCUGACAACGGGUAAAGCUACUGCCCAGCCCUACCUUUAUGCAGGAAUUGACCAAAUAAGGAAGAUUGUGACCCCCAACGAAAAAGGAAUGGCAUUUUCGGGGAAUAGCCCGCUUAAAUAAACUAGAUUGAAGAAAGGGAGGAUAUCCGAAAGGCUCAGAGAAUGGGGAUAAACUACUCAGGAUAUCCUGAUAACUAACCCAUAGGAAAAAGCUCUAUACGAUACGCGAGUUGUUGGUGGAAUACGAGUAAGGACUUUGUUUGCCCAAGUCCCUUGCUUGAAGGACUAUCGCACUUUCAGUGGUACUGAGACUGUCCCUACCACUACCCUUUAUCAAGCUGGUUUACAAGAGUUCUGGCUUUCCCAACCGGACAAAACUUCUAGGGAAUCUAAUUUCUUUCGAACCCCCUAUUAUAUUUAUAUGCGGUCCUAACCUUGCUACUCUUACUUCCACUAGCAAGAGAACUUCUGCUCGAAACAUACCCCUCGGGAUAUAGUCUUACUUCUUGAAGCAAGCUACUUUAACUGCCAAAGGAGCGGGGCAACUUGAGUUAGACGAGAGGCAGGGAUGUAAUUUCAAAGAGGCUCGACCGGACCCAAGAACCGGACAGAAGACAGGCCCCACUGUGAUACCUCGUGCAAGUUCUAGUUAAUGACCUGAAAGAAGUCACUAGCUUCUUGCUAUCGAGCGUGCCUUAGCCUUAGUUUACAAGGAAGCUUUGUCGUACUUAGAAAAGGAUGGUUCUAA
rnacentral:lncRNA from 1 species